CCUUCCUACGGGGGGCAGCAGUGGGGAAUAUUGGGCAAUGGGCGCAAGCCUGACCCAGCAAUGCCGCGUGAAGGAAGUAGGCCCUCGGGUUGUAAACUUCUUUUAUCAGGGACGAAGGAUGUGACGGUACCUGAUGAAUAAGCUCCGGCUAACUACGUGCCAGCAGCCGCGGUAAUACGUAGGUGGCAAGCGUUGUCCGGAUUUACUGGGUGUAAAGGGCGUGUAGCCGGGUUGACAAGUCAGAUGUGAAAUCCUGCGGCUUAACCGCAGAACUGCAUUUGAAACUGUUGAUCUUGAGUACUGGA
rnacentral:rRNA from 1 species